AGUAGCAUUACAGGGUGAGUUCUCCAUUGGCAGGUAGCUAACCAUUAUAUAUGAUACAUUCUUAGUGUGCAAUCUGCCAAAGGAGAUUUGCCCAGCAAUUCUCCU
rfam:Cicer arietinum chromosome Ca6, whole genome shotgun sequence.